GACGAACGCUGGCGGCGUGCUUAACACAUGCAAGUCGAACGAAGAGCGACGGAAGCUUGCUUCUAUCAAUCUUAGUGGCGAACGGGUGAGUAACGCGUAAUCAACCUGCCCUUCAGAGGGGGACAACAGUUGGAAGCGACUGCUAAUACCGCAUACGAUCUAAUCUCGGCAUCGAGGAUGGAUGAAAGGUGGCCUCUACAUGUAAGCUAUCACUGAAGGAGGGGAUUGCGUCUGAUUAGCUAGUUGGAGGGGUAACGGCCCACCAAGGCGAUGAUCAGUAGCCGGUCUGAGAGGAUGAACGGCCACAUUGGGACUGAGACACGGCCCAGACUCCUACGGGAGGCAGCAGUGGGGAAUCUUCCGCAAUGGACGAAAGUCUGACGGAGCAACGCCGCGUGAGUGAUGACGGCCUUCGGGUUGUAAAGCUCUGUUAAUCGGGACGAAAGGCCUUCUUGCGAAUAGUGAGAAGGAUUGACGGUACCGGAAUAGAAAGCCACGGCUAACUACGUG
rnacentral:rRNA from 1 species